rnacentral:rRNA from 1 species
GAUGAACGCUGGCGGCGUGCCUAAUACAUGCAAGUCGAGCGAACAGACGAGGAGCUUGCCCCUCUGCAGUUAGCGGCGGACGGGUGAGUAACACGUGGAUAACCUACCUAUAAGGCUGGGAUAACUUCGGGGACCCGGAGCUAAUACCGGAUAAUAUAUUGAACCGGAUGGUUCAAUAGUGAACGACGGUUUUGCUGUCACUAAUAGAUGGAUCCGCGCCGCAUUAGCUAGUUGGUAAGGUAACGGCUUACCAAGGCAACGAUGCGUAGCCGACCUGAGAGGGUGAUCGGCCACACUGGAACUGAGACACGGUCCAGACUCCUACGGGAGGCAGCAGUAGGGAAUCUUCCGCAAUGGGCGAAAGCCUGACGGAGCAACGCCGCGUGAGUGAUGAAGGUCUUCGGAUCGUAAAACUCUGUUAUUAGGGAAGAACAAAUGUGUAAGUAACUAUGCACGUCUUGACGGUACCUAAUCAGAAAGCCACGGCUAACUACGUG